GGGGCUCGAUCCCAGAACCCUCGGAUCAUGCCCUGAGCCAAAGGCAGAUGCUUAACGACUAAGCCACAUAGGCACCCCCACUUCAUACGUAUAAACCCCUUCGUCCUCAGAAAUGCCAGGACUGCUCUUACUGCCGUUCCGCAGACGAGAUGGAUCUACCGAAAGUUCUGUAGCUGGUCCGUGGCUCAUGAUGGCGGAGCUGGACCUCCAGCCCCCACCCAGGUGGUGGCUUGGGAAAGCAGAUACCUGAGAGCCCGGAGGUGUGGGCUGGGUCCACGAAUGGGCGCUGCCGCCUGCAGACCACGCUUCCAGGAACACAGAAGUGCCGUCACCUGAGCCCCUUGGCUCAGCCACUUGAACCAAUCAUGGUGGCUCUGAUUUGCCACACGUGGGUCCCAUGGCCAAUCCUCGUGUUUGGGAGACAGAGGGAACCAGACCUAAGCCAUGGAGACCCAAAAUGGGAGGAGAGCCUCAAGGAUAAACACAGUUUCUGUAAUCACAUGACGUUUGGACAACUUGGUACCCCCCCGUGCCUCAGUUUCUUCAUCUGUGAUUUGGGGACAAUAGCACCUGCCUCGCUGCAUUGUUGUGAGGACAAAAUUAGUGAGACCAGUUAAGCACUUCAGCUCGUGCCUGGAACAACAAGCACCUGAUGAGAAUUAGAUACCCACUUUGUGCAUGUUACAGCAUGAAUACAACAUUUAUGUUGACGCUUGUGACAAGGGCACAAGAGCCCCCAGCCCCACGUCUGCAAAUACACGUGAGGAUGCAAACAUGGACGGAAGCCACACCACCACUUGGAGCGCACAGGCACAUGGGACAUCUGGAGGAUGUUCACACAAGACACAAAGAAAAAAAGCAAAACUGCAGCUUGGAGAGGUGAUGUGACUUACCCAAGGUGAUGCCAUGCAGGAGGAAGGAAGGGGGCUGGGAUGGAAAUCCAGGCUGGGUCCUUCCAGGUCCCAAGGGAACACCCUCUCCUCCAAAACCUCCUCCCCUGGAGGUUGUAAGGGAGAGGUCCUGGCGACAGCCUCUGCCACUGGGGGCAGCCCAGACCUGCCCCAGGCUCCAGAGUACAAUCAGCCCAGCUCUUCGGAGGACCCAGUUGCUGUGGGGCCUCCCUCACCUACCCCAUCCAGGCACCCAC